rnacentral:lncRNA from 1 species
UCCUCUACAGAUUUAGGCCCACCUUACCGAUUUUAUUUGCCCAGAUGCCUCUUGCGAGCGCAUCCGUCAUGGCCUGCGGUCUGAGUGUCUCUGCUUUCACCCCUUUAAUCGAGCAUGUUGUUCCUUUGCCAAUCCAUGUCCUUGCAUAGUUAGAGCCAAGAUCAGCACACAUUGCAAUUUUAUCUCUUUGCUGCAAUGUAGCUUUCCAUCCCGCCGAAUCUCCCUGUUUUUUGGCAAUUUGACUUAGGGGUCGGUUCUUGAUGUAUCUAGCACACAUCCAUUGGCUCCAGAUUCCAUUUCUUUCCCACAUUCUGCAGACUCUGCUGAGUUUCUUUAUAAUCACGG